rnacentral:rRNA from 1 species
AGAGUUUGAUCCUGGCUCAGGAUAAACGCUGGCGGCGCACAUAAGACAUGCAAGUCGAACGAACUUAACCAUUAGUUUACUAUUGGAGCGGUUAGUGGCGGACUGGUGAGUAACACGUAAGCAACCUGCCUAUCAGAGGGGAACAACAGUUAGAAAUGACUGCUAAUACCGCAUAUGCCUUAGAAUCACAUGGUUCAAAAGGGAAAGGAGCAAUCCGCUGAUAGAUGGGCUUGCGUCUGAUUAGCUAGUUGGUGGGGUAACGGCCUACCAAGGCGACGAUCAGUAGCCGGUCUGAGAGGAUGAACGGCCACAUUGGAACUGAGACACGGUCCAGACUCCUACGGGAGGCAGCAGUGGGGAAUCUUCCGCAAUGGGCGCAAGCCUGACGGAGCAACGCCGCGUGAGUGAAGAAGGGUUUCGACUCGUAAAGCUCUGUUGUCGGGGACGAAUGUGGAGAUGGUGAAUAACCAUUUCCAAUGACGGUACCUGACGAGGAAGCCACGGCUAACUACGUGCCAGCAGCCGCGGUAAUACGUAGGUGGCGAGCGUUGUCCGGAAUUAUUGGGCGUAAAGAGCAUGUAGGCGGUUUUUUAAGUCUGGAGUGAAAAUGCGGGGCUCAACCCCGUAUGGCUCUGGAUACUGGAAGACUUGAGUGCAGGAGAGGAAAGGGGAAUUCCCAGUGUAGCGGUGAAAUGCGUAGAUAUUGGGAGGAACACCAGUGGCGAAGGCGCCUUUCUGGACUGUGUCUGACGCUGAGAUGCGAAAGCCAGGGUAGCGAACGGGAUUAGAUACCCCGGUAGUCCUGGCCGUAAACGAUGGGUACUAGGUGUAGGAGGUAUCGACCCCUUCUGUGCCGGAGUUAACGCAAUAAGUACCCCGCCUGGGGAGUACGUCCGCAAGGAUGAAACUCAAAGGAAUUGACGGGGGCCCGCACAAGCGGUGGAGUAUGUGGUUUAAUUCGACGCAACGCGAAGAACCUUACCAAGGCUUGACAUUGAAUGACCGCUUCAGAGAUGGAGCUUUCCCUUCGGGGACAUGAAAACAGGUGGUGCAUGGCUGUCGUCAGCUCGUGUCGUGAGAUGUUGGGUUAAGUCCCGCAACGAGCGCAACCC